rnacentral:misc_RNA from 1 species
GAUGAAGAAACGUAGCGAAAUGCGAUAAGUAAUGUGAAUUGCAGAAUUCAGUGAAUCAUCGAAUCUUUGAACGCACAUUGCGCCCGCCAGUAUUCUGGCGGGCAUGCCUGUUCGAGCGUCAUUACAACCCUCAGGCCCCCGGGCCUGGCGUUGGGGAUCGGCGGAGCCCCCCGUGGGCACACGCCGUCCCCCAAAUGCAGUGGCGGUCCCGCCGCAGCUUCCAUCGCGUAGUAGCUAACACCUCGCGACUGGAGAGCGGCGCGGCCACGCCGUAAAACACCCAACUCUUCUGAAGUUGACCUCGAAUCAGGUAGGAAUACCCGCUGAACUUAAGCAUAUCAAAAGCGGAGGA